AGCGAACGUUAGCGGCAGGCCUAACACAUGCAAGUCGCACGAGAAUCCGGCUUCGGCCGGUAGUAAAGUGGCGGACGGGUGAGUAACACGUGGAUAAUCUGCCCUUCGGCGGGGGACAACAGUCCGAAAGGAUUGCUAAUACCGCGUAAGUCGGCGAGGUCUUCGGAUCUUGUCGGGAAAGAUGGCCUCUUCAUGAAAGCUAUCGCCGAAGGAUGAGUCCGCGUCCCAUCAGCAGUUGGCGGGGUAAUGGCCCACCAAGGCUUAGACGGGUAGCUGGUCUGAGAGGAUGAUCAGCCACACUGGAACUGAGACACGGUCCAGACUCCUACGGGAGGCAGCAGUGGGGAAUAUUGGGCAAUGGGCGCAAGCCUGACCCAGCCAUGCCGCGUGAGUGAUGAAGGCC
rnacentral:rRNA from 1 species